AAAAAUCUGAUGACAAUCCAAUGUUCUUUCUUUAUGCAAGGGCUCUUUUUGCCUGGAUACCCUUUAUUUUUCUUUAAAGUAAUUUUACUGGACUAUAUCUUGGUCAAUCGAGGUCAAUGUUGUCAGGAUCCUGGAAAUCCUCGCGUUGGUGGCUCUGGACAGCUCACCCUGAAAUAUAAAGCCAGAUCUUAAUGACUGCAAGAUGUACAGGAGAAGCUGAGGGCACCCAGCCUGAUUUCACACAGCAGUUCCAGCUUGGAGGGAUAAUUGGAAAGAUUAUCACCAGGAAAUUGUUUACAGGACAAGCAAGCUCCAGACAUAGCCAUCACCACCCCCAGCUCCUGCUGGUAAAGCACACUGUUGGUGAUUUGGAGGCUGGAUUAAAAAGAAGCUCCUGGCAGGGGAGAAAUGGUCCCAGGAAGAGCUGAUGAUCUCAGGCUUAGGUAAGAAGAUGUACGGACCCACGUGAUAACAUAGAUGUCUUUUGUUCUUCCUGCCAAUCAACAUCGCAAGAAGAUGUUAAAGCCAUAAUGCAGACCAUUCCCUUUAAUUCUCCCUGUACUGUCUAGUACUGACCUUGAACUAGCUCAAAAAUGAGCAGAUGGGUCCUCCCCAGUGCUGUGAGGAGCAUGCAGAACCAGCACAGGGCAAGCUCCUAAGCUGGUAACAAGGAUGCCAAUGCCAAUGGUGCCAUGAGCCCCAAAUAAAGAAGCUUUCUGUGAAGACAAGGAACACUAUCAGUCACCCAGUCUCUCUGCCCCUUCCAUGUGCCCUCAGCAGACUGUUCCUCACAGCCCCCUGAAGACCCAAUUCCUGCCCUGCUGGGUUGUAAGGUUGCAGCUGGGCCAGGCACCGCCUGGGAGAGACCUGACCCGAGUGGAAUAGGGCAGCAGGGGAGCGAGAUGCUCGGGAGCUGGUGCAGGCUGGGGGUCAGGGAGGGGUAGAAUCAAGGACAGAGAAAUAAAGAAGAGAGGAGAAAGAGAAGGAAAGGGGAGGGAAGAGAGAAUCAAAUCUAGGAAAAGCUAGAUACAAAGGUCAAACAAUGUCAUCAGACUCUGGCCUCUCUCUUGGUCCAUCCGUGUGGAUCCCCUUCUCCAGCAACCUAGGUAGUUUUGGGUUCCAGAGCCACACAAAGGAGAGACAGUCUCCAGCAAUCCCAGCUGCAGUUUCGGGACUCACUCGAAUUGGCUCUCAGGUCACAUGCCCACAUGCCCAAACCAAUCACUGGGGCCCUAAGUCAGUUUGGCGUAGGUCCAGAGCCCCACGCCCAACCCUCCUGGAGUGAAGACAAUCAGGGCGUUUGCCAGGAGAAAGGGGAAUGACUGCUGGGAAGAUAAAUGCUCCCUUAGAGUUUGCUGAACAGUCAAAACUUCCUGAUCCCUUCCUCGUGCAAAAGGGGAGAUCAGGCUGAGAGAGGAAAGAGGCGCCUGUACUUGCAGUUUGUCAGGGGUGUUAUGGGCUGAAUGUUCGUGUCCCCCGCCCCAAAUCCACAUGUGAAGCCCUACCCCCUAAUGUGAUGGUAUUAGGAAUGGGGCUUUUGUGGGGGAGGUGGUAAUUAGGUUCAGAUGAAGUCAUGAGGGGGAAGCCCCCAUGAUGGGAUUAGUGUUCUGGCCGGAAGAGGAGAAGAACAGAGUCCUGUCUCUGCCAUGUGAGGACACAGAAAGAAGGCAGCCCUCUGCAAACCAAGAAGCGAGUCCUCCCCAGACACUGAUCUGCCAGCACCUUGACCUUGGACUUGCCAGCAUCCAGAACUGUGAGAAAUAAAUGUUUGCUAUUAUAGCCCCCUGGACUAGGGUAUUUGUUUGGUGAUAGCAGCCCAAGCACACUGAGACAGUGACAAAGUCUGGGCAUGGUUCUUGGCCUUACCCUCUGGCAACUGCCUCCUGAGGGGCAAGGCCGGAGAAGCCAGACCCCGAGGGAGUUGAUGGGGUUCUAAGGCCACCAGGGAAGAUUUCCAGAGUGGGUGGGGGGAUUGUGGAGGUCUUGGAGCAAGGGCUCAAAGUGUGGGCAGAGUCUCUCGGAGGAGCAGGGAGGAGGCCAUGGAACAGUUCUCCCUUUGAGGACCCAACAGUCGGGUGGGGGAGUAAGACAGGUGGAUGGUGGUUGCCACAGAAUGUGAUCAGGACAUUGUAGGAGAAAGCACCGUAGGGGAGGGUGGGGGUCCAAGCACAGCCUCUUGGCCAGAGUGGGGAGGUGGUGGAGGUUUCCUGGUGGCAGUGAUGUUUGAGAUGAAUUUUGCAAGUUGAGCUAAGAAGAGAGAGAAGGCCUUUUGUGGUGAUGAAAUCAUGGACAAAAACACAGAAGCACAAUAGCUUGGGAUACAGUCGUAGAACAGAAAUAACGGGAUGUGCCAAAGAGAUGUAGGUGAUGAGGCUGGGAUGUCAGCAGGCUCAGAUGUUGACCAGAGCCCCGACAUUAUUCCUUCACUCUGGGGGCACGGGGACAGAGGAGGGCAGGGGAGGAUUGUAAGAUGGGCGGUGGCCAUUCAUAAAUAUGCAAGUGGCCUUGAUCUUGGGAGGGCUGGGGGUGGCACAAGGGUAUAAAUGAGGACUUCUGGUGAGAGGGGGCAGGGGCCACUCAACUCAAACCAUCUUGGCCCAAAGCGCUGUUUGGGAAGAAUCUUGCAGCUACUCACACUAUCAGUCCAAACUGUGUGAAACAUCUGUGGGGAGGGGACCGUUGUAACUUGGCUUUUUCUUUCUGCAAGACAGUUGGGCAAUAUGAACUAAAGCCUAAAACCUAGAAAUUCCACUUCUGGGAAUUUUCCCUAAGAAAAGCAGUAAAGAUGAGGGCAAAGAUUUAGCUUCGAGGAUGUUCAUUGCAACACUGUUUAUAGGGAAAUAACUGGAAAUGAUCCAAAUGUCCAACACCAAGAGCUGCCCUAUCGAGUGACUGGAAGUCUGACGAUGGGCUGUGCUUUGGUCAUUUGCUCUGCUGCUGUGGUCAGAAUUGACAAUUUCCAGAUGCCUGUCCCUGGGCCAAGGCGGCUCUGUGAAAAGUGGCUGCUGGUGGAUGGCAAAAUCAGAAACACGGAGACAACAGCAAGAUGUCCAUCAAACUUUGUUUUUUCUGUAACAUUGUCUCCUCUCUACCUCUUUGGCUUGAGGAUGAUAAUGAACGUUCACUUUUUUCUUUUUUCUAAACUUCACCGAAAGUCUAAUUAACAGGGACAUAAACAAAUGGGGGCUUAUUUUUUUCACACUAAAAGAAGUCUGGAGAUAGAGGCCACUGGGCAAGUGUCAGUGCUCUCACAGUGCGAAGCAGGGAGGAGUCUCUGUGAUUCUCUCGCGCUUCGCUUCACGCUCCCGAGAAGGCUGCCUCUGGUCUUGGUAGGAAGCGUAAGGAUGAGAUACUACCAAUGACAUUUUCCCUUUUACAGGAAAGCAAAAGCUUACCUAAACAUUUCCUGAGGACCACUUCUGUCUUAUUGGCUAAACUAGGUCAUGGGACUGCCCUUAGCUGCAAGGGAAAUACGAAAUCUGCCAAAAGGAAAUGGGGUUACCGUGUUGAUGAAUUGCCUGGGACUGAAUACAUGACCCCUUCAAACAAAACCAAGAAGGAAGGGGUGGGGGGCAGGCUAGAAGUAAUAAGAGGGCAGCUCAGCCAUGCCUGCCACAUUUGAUGGGAAGAGAGUUGGCAGCCCUAGAUCCGUGCCGCCUCGUUUUCGGAAAGUGGAAUUUACUGGUCCUCGAAAUGCUGAACACUGGGAACCUUUGGAACAAAGGACUGGUUUUCAAACCAGAUUCCUUUGUGGCCCGGAGUUACUUAGGGGCUGCUGUUAGGGCAAGAACAUGGCAAGAAGGGGUGAAAGUAGCUCUACAUCUUCCUUCAACCCAAGAGCUGCCAUUUUAUCUGAGCAUAAUACAAGCAUCCAUGUAAAGUUCCACUUGGUGUACAUGUGUCUACAUGUGUUUAUCUGUACAUAUGUAUGUAUAUGUAAAAAUGUGUGUUUAUCUUUAUGCAUGUAUAUAUAAGCAUUUAGAUAGAUGGAUGGAUAGGUUGAUUGAUUGAUUGAUUGAUAGAUCUAGAAAGAUACAUAGCAAUGGUAUGAUCUUAAGAGGGCUGGAGGUGGCAGACUGGUGACCACUAGAGCCCAAGUCAGUGUUUAAAAUCUCUUUGACUUUAUGGGGCGCCUGCGUGGCUUAAGCGUCCGCCUUCGGCUUGGGUCAUGGUCCCAGGGUCCUGGGAUCGAGCCCCACAUCGGGCUCCCUGCU